CACAGGUCCUACUCUCACGACAAUCGCAUAUGUUGAUCAAGCGGUUGUGCGCACACGAGACGAGCGUAACAUCUUCGGAGAUUUGAAAAGCCUCACCUCACAUUGUCGUGACUUUGCAAACGAGAGCAUAAUGCUCUCUUUGCAUGGAGAGUGACUUGUUGCUGCUUUUGCAUUCUAUCAUUCUCGUACACAUACACACACCGCAAACAAAACAAACGAACGAAAACGUUUGGAGACGUCUGCAGACAUAACGGAACCAUGCGCCGAUAGAAUUUAUUGCGUUCUGCACAAGAAAAAAAU
rnacentral:lncRNA from 1 species